AACGAACGCUGGCGGCGUGCCUAACACAUGCAAGUCGAACGGAAGUAAGAAGCUUGCUUUUUACUUUAGUGGCGCACGGGUGAGUAACGCGUGGAUAAUCUGCCUGAUGCUCUGGGAUAACAUCUCGAAAGGGGUGCUAAUACCGGAUAAGCCCACGAGAACUUCGGUUUUUGCGGGAAAAGGAGGGGACCUUCGGGCCUUCCGACAUCAGAUGAGUCCGCGUCCCAUUAGCUAGUUGGUGGUGUAAAGGACCACCAAGGCGACGAUGGGUAGCUGGUCUGAGAGGAUGAACAGCCACACUGGAACUGAGACACGGUCCAGACUCCUACGGGAGGCAGCAGUGGGGAAUUUUGCGCAAUGGGGGCAACCCUGACGCAGCUACGCCGCGUGAGUGAUGAAGGCUUUCGGGUCGUAAAGCUCUGUCAGAAGGGAAGAAAUGUAGGUGGCUAAUAUCCAUUCUACUUGACGGUACCUUCAAAGGAAGCACCGGCUAACUCCGUGCCAGCAGCCGCGGUAACAC
rnacentral:rRNA from 1 species